CCUACGGGUGGCAGCAGUGAGGAAUAUUGGUCAAUGGACGAGAGUCUGAACCAGCCAAGUAGCGUGAAGGAUGACUGCCCUAUGGGUUGUAAACUUCUUUUAUAUGGGAAUAAAAUGUUCCACGUGUGGGAUUUUGUAUGUACCAUAUGAAUAAGGAUCGGCUAACUCCGUGCCAGCAGCCGCGGUAAUACGGAGGAUCCGAGCGUUAUCCGGAUUUAUUGGGUUUAAAGGGUGCGUAGGUGGAUUGUUAAGUCAGUUGUGAAAGUUUGCGGCUGAACCGUAACAUUGCAGUUGAAACUGGCAGUCUUGAGUACAGUAGAGGUGGGCGGAAUGCGUGGUGUAGCGGUGAAAUGCUUAGAUAUCACGAAGAACUCCGAUUGCGAAGGCAGUUCACUGGACUGCAACUGACACUGAGGCUCGAAAGUGUGGGUAUCAAACAGGAUUAGAUACCCCGGUAGUC
rnacentral:rRNA from 1 species